rnacentral:ncRNA from 1 species
CGGUAAACGCUGGGUAGCCAAGUGCGGAGAGGAUAACUGCUGAAAGCAUAUAAGUAGUAAGCCCACCCCAAGAUGAGUGCUCUCUCCUCCGACUUCCCUAGAGCCUCCGGUAUCACAGCCGAGACAGCGACGGGUUCUCCACGCAUACGGGGAUGGAGCGACAGAAGUAUGGAAAUAGGAUAAGGUAGCGGCGAGACGAGCCGUUUAAAUAGGUGUCAAGUGGAAGUGCAGUGAUGUAUGCAGCUGAGGCAUCCUAACGAACGAACGAUUUGAACCU